UACAGAGGGUGCAAGCGUUUGUUCGGAAUUAUUGGGCGUAAAGCGCGUGUAGGCGGCUUGUUAUGUCGGGUGUGAAAGCCCUCAGCUUAACUGAGGAAGUGCGCCCGAAACUGGCGAGCUUGAGUGCCGGAGAGGAUAGCGGAACACCCGGUGUAGAGGUGAAAUUCGUAGAUAUCGGGUAGAACACCAGUGGCGAAGGCGGCUAUCUGGACGGACACUGACGCUGAGACGCGAAAGCGUGGGGAGCAAACAGGG
rnacentral:rRNA from 1 species